GGGGAAUCAGGACUGUUACUUUGAAAAAAUUAGAGUGUUUAAAGCAGGCUCACGCUUGAAUACAUUAGCAUGGAAUAACGAAAUAGGACGUUUGAUUCUAUUUUGUUGGUUUCUAGGAUCGACGUAAUGAUUAAUAGGGAUAGUUGGGGGCAUUAGUAUUCAAUUGUCAGAGGUGAAAUUCUUGGAUUUAUUGAAGACUAACUACUGCGAAAGCAUUUGCCAAGGAUGUUUUCAUUAAUCAAGAACGAAAGUUAGGGGAUCGAAGACGAUCAGAUACCGUCGUAGUCUUAACCAUAAACUAUGCCGACUAGGGAUCGGAUGAUGUUAAUUUUUUAAUGACUCAUUCGGCACCU
rnacentral:rRNA from 1 species